rnacentral:rRNA from 1 species
CCCUUAGAUGUUCUGGGCGGCCCGCGCACUACAUUGGCACUCUCAAUAAGUUCCUAGAUCUAAAACUUUGGGGUAUUCUAUUAAGUGGUGUCGUGACUGGGAUUAACCCUUGCAAUUAUUGGUUACGAACGAGGAAUUCCUUGUAAUCGCGGUUUAUCAGCCCGCGUUGAAUGCGUCCCUGCCCUUUGUACACACCGCCCGUCGCUCCUACCGAUGAAUCGUCCGGUUAAGUUCAUGGAGUGGUGGUUGUUCCAGCUGCUGUCGAAGUGAAAUGGACCUCACGAUUUAGAGGAAGGAGAAGUCGUAACA